CUCAAUGAAAUUUUAAUAGCCGCAAUUAUAUGUGCUAAGGUAGCAUAAUCAUUUGUCUUUUAAUUAAAGACCAGCACGAAAGAUUAAAUAUUUUNAUUUCUUUCUUAUAUAUAAAUUUACAAUUUAUUUUAAAUAUAAAAAAAUAUUUAUAUUUUAAAAAGACGACAAGACCCUAUUGAACUUAACUAUAGUUAAACUGGGGUAGUUAAUUAAACACAAUUUUAAUUUUAAAACUUAAAAACUUCUAAUAAAAUUAAAUAAAUCAAGUUACCAUAGGGAUAACAGCGUAAUAAUUACUUCAAGAUCUUAUUUAAAAAAUUGAUUGCGACCUCGAUGUUGAAUUAAUAAUCUAUUAAAUGCAAUAAUUUAAUAAGAAAGUCUGUUCGACUU
rnacentral:rRNA from 1 species